rnacentral:rRNA from 1 species
GCGGAGGAAAAGAAACCAACAGGGAUUGCCUCAGUAACGGCGAGUGAAGCGGCAACAGCUUCAAAUUUUGAAAUCUGGCUCCUUUCGGGGCCCGAGUUGUAAUUUGCAGAGGAUGCGUCGGGUACGGGUGCCUUCCGAGUUCCCUGGAACGGGACGCCAUAGAGGGUGAGAGCCCCGUCUGGUAGGACACCCAGCCCGUGUGACGCUCCCUCGACGAGUCGAGUAGUUUGGGAAUGCUGCUCUAACGGGAGGUAUACUCCUUCCAAGGCUAAAUACCGGCUGGAGACCGAUAGCGCACAAGUAGAGUGAUCGAAAGAUGAAAAGCACUUUGAAAAGAGAGUCAAACAGCACGUGAAAUUGUUAAAAGGGAAGCGCUCGCUACCAGACUUGGGUUCGGCGGUUCAACCGGGGCCACGCCCCGGGGCAUUCCGCCGGCCCAGGCCAGCAUCAGCUUUCCGUCGGGGGUAAAGGCGUCGGGAAUGUGGCUCCCCUUCGGGGGAGUGUUAUAGCCCGUCGUGUCAUACCCUUCGGGGGGCUGAGGUACGCGCUUCUGCAAGGAUGCUGGCGUAAUGGUAGCUAGUGACCCGU